AUUUUCCCCCAUUAACUUUUUAUUGUAUAUAUUUGUAUCUACAUACAAAGCUAGAAGAGUUCCCAUAAAAUUGAACAUUUAAGAUUCUCCCCCUUCAUUGCCUUCAACAUUUCCUGAACAUCGCCAGCUUUAAAUCUUUUGCAGUGAAAUUAUGCCUCCCAAGAGUGCUGCGUGUUCUCUGUCGUUGUCCUGUAGCUGGCUUUAUAAUCGUUUUGAACUAUCUGACCAUAAGCCCUGGACCAAUAAGGCCGCUGCCUCCUUUUGGCGGCAAAGGCCCGGCUGUGGCCAUAAUCAGUGCACAAUCAGGCCAACGGUCCGACGGAGCGGAUGGUAAAAAUUAACUUUUUUAAUGAAUUACGUAAAACACACAGACACUCUCCAACAAGGGGGCCAAAGGGUGAAAAAGGGUGGUCUCGUCGGCAGACAGUUGCAAUGCAACGCAAUGUUACGUGACGCCCGAAACGCAUUAUGUCAUAUCGCUGAUUGAACCAACGAAGCGAGCCACCGAGCGCUGAACACUCCUGAGCUGGCGAAAUGCUGUUGGCCUAGAACAAAAGGCCACAGAAGGCAGGAGAGUGCCGAGAGUCAUCCCAGUGGUCAUUAAAAUUGUAUAUUUUAAUUUGAUUUUGCUCUUGCAAUUUCCAUUGGCAAUAAUAAUCAUGUAACGAGACCACAAACUCAUGCACGGCAUCUCUUGAUCAUUGCUAAGCGGAUGAUGAGAGAGAGAGAGAGAGAGCGAGAGAGGGAGAGAGAGAGCAAGGGGCGAGGAGCAGCAGGGGCAGCAGCUUAUAAGGCUAUUAUAUCAAUCGAGCCUAAGCCAUGAUUGCGCGGAAAUCCCCCCCGUCUCCAUAUCCUAACCCCUUUUGGACCGCUGCUUGACGCAAUUGAAAAGACAAAUCCUCGUUGUCUUCUUUUGAUGCAUCAGCAACAACUGCACCAGCAGGAGCAACAUCAGCAACGGACGCGCCUGCUGCAUCUAGCGCCAAUUGUAUCUGAAGAGCGGAGAGUCUUUGUAUCUGGUUAUCUGUAUCUUCAACUCCUCCUUGUCAGUGGUGGCCUUUCGUCGUGGCCUGUGCGGACAAUAUCGACCAUGAUUGAACGCGAGUUAUCUUUCAGGACUUAGGCGUUGUCUCUUUUCCAAUCCCAAUCGCAGAAGCAGCAGCAAUCGUAUGACACAAAAGGAGGUCACACACAAGGACUCAGCGACUGUCAGCGGCUUAUCCAUCCUCCCCCCUCUCACCAGUCUUUCGUGAAGGAUGUGUGAAGAUAAUUGUCAAGGUUCACGGCUGCCUGACUCGAUGAUUAUGAAACCUCUUUUUUCUUUUUCAUAUUUUCACAUUUUCCAUUUCAUAUUUCCUAUUACUUUUUUUAAUUAAAUAUUUGUGGCUUCCUUUUGAGUGGCUUAUUGA